ACGAUAAAUCCAUAUUUUUGUGUUGAUUUUUUAAUAUAGUUCUUAAUUUUUCACAAAUUAUAUCUAAAUUUUCACAAAAUAGGUACCUCUCAGAAAAACGUAAACAGACUCCUUGUAGGUGAAAAAGUUCAAUUGAAAUUUUUAUUGCUAGAUUUUUCUUUUAAACAAUUUUUGUCUUGGUUUUUACCUAGCUUUUUAUAUUUCUAAAAAACUUUGUUUUUAUUAAGUGUAUGACACAGUAAUUAAGAACGUUUCUAUUGACUUUAUUCUUAUCUAGAAAAUAUGAUAGUUGGAAAGCUGAGAUGUAAAGCUUUAAAAUUUUAUUUUGAGAAUUAAAAUAGAUUUUUCUGUUUUACAUUUGUAUAUAAUCUUCUGUUUUUGUUAGUAACACAGGAUUUUAAUAACAUAUUUCUAUAACAUAUUUAGUUAAUGUUGCUUUAUGGAUACUGCUUUGCAGAAAAUAUUAUUCUUAGCAUAGAAGCUUUGUUGUAACAAUUAUGAUAUUUUUUUUUCUUUCUAUUUUACUUUAUAACUUUAGUUUUUUUAUAAGUAUUUCUUGUUUAAUUUUUUGUAUUCCCUUUAGCCCAUUCCACUAAUAUAGAUAAGCAUGGAGUAAUUUCCAAUUAUAAAUAAACUUAUUUAUUCGUAAAAAAUAUUUAUUAAUGAAUUUUUUUUAAAAAAAAUAUUGCUAUAAAAAUAUAUUCUGCAUUUCACCAUUUUUUUUAGCUAACAGUCUACCAAACCAUUACUCCUUACCUCUCUAGUUCUGAAUAAUAAAUGUGCCCGUAUAAACGAAAGAAAAUAUGUUUGAAUAAUUUCUAUGUUUUUAAACGUAUUAACUGAAUAAAUUUUCUUUUUCAUAAUCUAUUGAUGUACUUCUGAGGAAGAUCUUUGGAAAGGAUCUGGCUUUGAGUAUGAAGCUCCAUCAAGUCUCAUUUGAAGGUUCCUGAAUUAAGUACAUUGCAGUGAAGAGGUGAUACUAACAGCAGGGUGGAAGAAGUUAUGAAUCAGAUCUGUGGCGAUGUGUUAUAAUUGUAAAUCUGUAUAUUGUAUGAUAGUUGUAAAAUAAAUAAAACUUAAUAAAUCU